AUCACUUGGCUUUCAACGUAAUUCAAAUAAGGUACAGCCUAUUUGAAACAGGAUACAACCUAGACCAAUGGAUAGGAUCCGCCUAGCAUACAAUCAAGUGGGCCUAAAAGCAGCCACCUUAAGUAAAGCGUCAAAGCUAAGUUGUAGUCGCGCCAAAUUUCUUAAUCUUCAUCUAAUCCUCAACCAAUACUGAGUAAUUCUAUAGUAUUAUAGAAAUUUUUAUGUUAAAACUAGUAACAAGAAGAAGACACUUCUCUUAAAUGUGUGUGUAAAUCAGAAAAGACAAGCUACUGAUACUUAACACCCUUGAGCUUAAAGUAGCAACCAACCAAGAAAACCCUACUUUCAUUAGUGUUAACCUAACACAAGAACAUUCCGAGAAAGAUUUAAAGAAAAAGAAGGAACUCGGCAAAUAUUAACCUCGCCUGUUUACCAAAAACAUCGCCUCUUGAAUCAUUAUAAGAGGUCCAGCCUGCCCAGUGACCCUGUUCAACGGCCGCGGUAUCCUAACCGUGCGAAGGUAGCGUAAUCACUUGUUCUCUAAAUGUGGACUAGUAUGAAUGGCAUCACGAAGGUUAUACUGUCUCCUUUUUCUAAUCAGUGAAACUAAUCUCCCCGUGAAGAAGCGGGGAUAAAACUAUAAGACGAGAAGACCCUAUGGAGCUUUAAACAAUGCAGCAUCUGCCCCCAUAACACUAAAAUUUCCGAAUUUAAAAUCCCUGGACAGUGUGACUGCAAGUUUUUGGUUGGGGUGACCACGGAGCAUAGUACAACCUCCAUGCUGAAAGAAUCUUUCUAAGCUAAGAACCACAAAUCCAAGCAUCAAUAAAUUGACAUCCAUUGACCCAAUAUACUUGAACAACGAACCAAGUUACCCUAGGGAUAACAGCGCAAUCCACUUCAAAAGCUCCUAUCGACAAGUGGGUUUACGACCUCGAUGUUGGAUCAGGGUCUCCCAGUGGUGCAGCCGCUACUAAA
rnacentral:rRNA from 1 species